rnacentral:tRNA from 1 species
CCCGGUGGCUCAGCGGCUAGAGCACGCGAUCAAGUUGACCCCACAAGGUCUCUUUCCGUGAAGCUGUUAACCGCGGGAUCAUGGGUUCAAAUCCCAUCCGGGA